rnacentral:rRNA from 1 species
UACGGAAGGUCCGGGCGUUAUCCGGAUUUAUUGGGUUUAAAGGGAGCGUAGGCCGGAGAUUAAGCGUGUUGUGAAAUGUAGACGCUCAACGUCUGCACUGCAGCGCGAACUGGUUUCCUUGAGUACGCACAAAGUGGGCGGAAUUCGUGGUGUAGCGGUGAAAUGCUUAGAUAUCACGAAGAACUCCGAUUGCGAAGGCAGCUCACUGGAGCGCAACUGACGCUGAAGCUCGAAAGUGCGGGUAUCGAACAGGAUUAGAUACCCCGAUCGGCUGACUGACU